rnacentral:rRNA from 1 species
CGUAGGUGGCAAGCGUUGUCCGGAAUUAUUGGGCGUAAAGCGCGCGCAGGCGGUUCCUUAAGUCUGAUGUGAAAGCCCCCGGCUCGACCGGGGAAGGUCAUUGGAAACUGGGGAACUUGAGUGCAGAAGAGAAGAGCGGAAUUCCACGUGUAGCGGUGAAAUGCGUAGAGAUGUGGAGGAACACCAGUGGCGAAGGCGGCUCUUUGGUCUGUAACUGACGCUGAGGCGCGAAAGCGUGGGGAGCAAACAGGAUUAGAUACCCUGGUAGUCCACGCCGUAAACGAUGAGUGCUAAGUGUUAGAGGGUUUCCGCCCUUUAGUGCUGCAGCUAACGCAUUAAGCACUCCGCCUGGGGAGUACGGCCGCAAGGCUG